rnacentral:lncRNA from 1 species
GACUCGCGAGGGCGUAAAAGUUUGUCUCAGCUCGAGCAUUCCUAGCGCCAACACGCCCUCAGGUAAAGGUGGAAGUAAAUGGCCACGCUGUAUUGACAGAGGUAGAUGAAACUCAAGAGAAAAGGUGUGGAUAAAUGAAACUAGCCCAUGAUGAACCUGUUUUCUCCGUGACCACAAUAUUAACCAGGAUGAAUGGCGGUGGCAGUGGGCCUGCAUCACAGGUUGCAGCAGAUGUUCUCAAUAUUUCUAUUAAAAUUUCCUUAUUUCCAUAUGCAAGAGGAGCCCCAGAGCUGCAUCCUUAUGGUAGCUACCAUGCCGUGAUGUAAGCUGCCAUUCACUGGGGAGCUUUGGCAAUAGAAUUGGCUAGAUCAGGAAGCCUAUGUCAACUAUGGAACAACAACUUGCAGCUCAUCUCUAUUGAUGCAUCAGGUAUUAUCUACUGCUGUCUGCAGAAUUCAGACAUGGAGGGCUCAAUGGUGUCCCCUGGUCUUUGGAACAUUCUGUAUUUUAAUGAUCAUGAUACACUGCCUCUAGGACUGGGACAGAUAGCCACUGAGUACCUGCUUCAAAUCACCCUGCACGUUUUCUCUUUGGAAAGAUAAGCACUGGAGAACCAUCUCGUUACCUUCAGCAGAAAUGGAAACAAAUCAAGACAUUAAGAAUGCCGCAGUGGACAGCAGUUAUGCAAGGUUCAGCAGAGGAAGUUUUCAAGAUGGUGUGCCUCACUAGCCAGAAAUCAGAAAAGAUCGAAGCUAGCCUUUUCAUCUCAGCUGCUCCUUAAAUCAGUGCAACCCCUCCAAAUUAAUGUGAAUUGAAACUUGCAUUGCUUUUCAACUUAAUUGAAUACUUACUAUAUGUGAACCACUGCACAAAAUAGGGGAAGAAGAUGUGGGAGACAAAGAUGUGGAGCCUGUCUUCAAUAAAUUUACAGUUAGUUUCAGGGUACAUUGUUUUUCUUCUGCUGUUAAUUAGGUGUAUCCCCAAGACAAUAAAUACAUGAAUGGAAAAGUAUAUUCUGUGUUUUAAGUCUCUUUAAUAAAAAACAAAACAAAAUCCAAAAAAACUCCUAACAUGGCAACUCAGGACAUUUUAAUCCUUUUUUUUGUUGUUGGGCUUCUGAUAGGAUCCAUUUUAUUGAUUCCAUAAAUAUUUAGUAGACUUUAGACAUAUUAAUACAUUGUAGUUUGAGUUAAUUUGCAUUAAAUUCUGUUUUUUUCCCCUUAGGUAUAGAUUGUCUGUUGGAAAAAUAUAUUGCUUGUGGAUUUCUUGGGGAGUGGGAAGGUGAAUUAUACCUGUUGUCUCUACAGUCCACUACCUUCCACACCCUAGGGCAGUGGUCCCCAACCUUCUUGGCACCAGGGAUCAGUUUCCUGGAAGACAAUUUUUCUGUGGAUGGUGUGGGGAUGGUUUUGGGAUGGAACUGUUCCACCUCAGAUCAUCAGGCAUUAGUUAGGCUCUCAUAACGAGUGCGCAGCCUAGAUCCCUCACAUGCACAGUUCACAGUAGGGUUUGCGCUGCUAUGAGAAUCUAAGGCUGCCACUGAUCUGACAGGAGGCAGAACUCAGGUGGCAAUGCUUACUGGCCCACUGCUCACCUCUUGCUGUGCGGCCUGGUUCCUAAUAGGCCAUGGACCCCCACAGACGGGUACUAGUCUGCAGCCUGUGGACCCCAGCCCUAGGGGCCUGCCAUUCUGAGUGAGUUAUUAGCAUGAAGAAGAGGAAGAUCUGGAUCAAACGUGGGUGAUGGUACUCAGAGACCCAAGAUAGGAUAGGGAUGGAACAAAAUCCAUCUGGGCAACGGCUCUAUGAAAAUUUGGCUAAGUAAUUAUUUCAGUAUUCAUUGUAUUCAUUGUCCUUCGUGUUCCAUAAGUUAAAUGACUGUCUAAUUUUUCCAAAAAUUUAUUUCUGACUUGAGAAUAAGUGUGUCAUGAUUUUCCCAGUGUAAAGACACUGAUAUAACUGUAGAUACCAGACAUUUUAUGUAGUGUCUAUGACACAUUUUAGUAUGUAUGAGCCAACAAUAGACAUGUCUUUGUCUUGAGGAGUGUCCAUCUGAAUUGAAAAUGUGUCAGCUUUUUUUUAACAUCAUCAACAGACUUCUUAAUUAAGCUGCCAAUACAUACUGCCAAUAGCACUGUGUGCUGUCUGAGAAAUGCAUU